CAUGCUCCCGGCCGCCAUGGCGGCCGCGGGAAUUCGAUUAGAGUUUGAUCAUGGCUCAGAUUGAACGCUGGCGGCAUGCCUAACACAUGCAAGUCGAACGGCAGCACAGUAAAGAUUUCGGUCUUUAUGGGGUGGCGAGUGGCGGACGGGUGAGUAACACGUAGGAAUCUGUCCUGGAGCGUGGGAUAACCCGAGGAAACUCGGGCUAAUACCACAUGAUAUCGAGAGAUCAAAAGCAGGGGACCGAAAGGCCUUGCGCUCUGGGGUGAGCCUACGUCGGAUUAGCUAGUUGGUGGGGUAAAAGCCUACCAAGGCGACGAUCCGUAGCUGGUCUGAGAGGAUGACCAGCCACACUGGGACUGAGACACGGCCCAGACUCCUACGGGAGGCAGCAGUGGGGAAUCUUGGACAAUGGGGGAAACCCUGAUCCAGCGAUGCCGCGUGUGUGAAGAAGGCCUUCGGGUUGUAAAGCACUUUAGGUGGGGAAGAAAGGUAACGAGCGAAUAACUCGUUGCUAUGACGGUACCCGCAGAAUAAGCACCGGCUAACUCUGUGCCAGCAGCCGCGGUAAUACGAAUCACUAGUGAAUUCGCGGCCGCCUGCAGGUCGACCAUAUGGGAGAGCUCCCCA
rnacentral:rRNA from 1 species